rnacentral:rRNA from 1 species
AUUGAACGCUAGCGGCAGGCCUAACACAUGCAAGUCGAGCGGAGCGGCGGACGGGUGAGUAAUGCAUCGGAAUGUGCCUGGUAGUGGGGGAUAACGUCCGGAAAGGGGCGCUAAUACCGCAUACUAUCAGAUGAGCCUAGUUCGGAUUAGCUAGUUGGUGGGGUAAAGGCCUACCAAGGCGACGAUCCGUAACUGGUUUGAGAGGAUGAACAGUAACACUGGAACUGAGACACGGCCCAGACUCCUACGGGAGGCAGCAGUGGGGAAUUUUGGACAAUGGGCGAAAGCCUGAUCCAGCCAUGCCGCGUGUGUGAAGAAGGUCUUCGGAUUGUAAAGCACUUUUAGUUGGGAGGCGUUACCAACAGAAUAAGCACCGGCUAACUUCGUGCCAGCCGCCGCGGUAAUUC